AUGCAUCACCAGCAGCGCAUGGCAGCGCUGGGGACGGACAAGGAGCUCAGCGAUUUGCUGGAUUUCAGCGCGGUAAGGACCCAAACACACCAAAAACUGGGGACGGACAAGGAGCUCAGCGAUUUGCUGGAUUUCAGCGCGGUAAGGACCCAAACACACCAAAAACUACCCAAAAAACAACCAAAAAUACCUCCAAAACAACCAAAAACACCCCAAAAACAACCAAAAACAACCAAAAACAACCCCAAAAACAACCAAAAACACCCCAAAAACAACCAAAAACAACCAAAAACAACCCAAAAAUACCCAAAUACACCCCCAAAACAAACAAAAACAACCAAAAACACCCCAAAAACAACCAAAACAACCAAAAAUACCCAAAAAACACCAAAAACAACCCCAAAAAUACCUCCAAAACAACCAAAAACACCCCAAAAACAACCAAAAAUACCCCAAAAACCACGCAAAAACAACCAAAAACACCCCAAAACAACCAAAAACAACCCCAAAAAUACCCCAAAAACACCCCAGAAACAACCAAAAACAACCAAAAACAACCCCAAAAAUACCCAAAAACCACCCCAAAAAUACCCAAAAAACACCAAAAACAACCAAAAACAACCCCAAAAAUACCCAAAACCACCAAAAACAACCAAAAACACCCCAAAACACCCAAAAACACCCAAAAACAACCAAAAACAACCCAAAAAACAACCAAAAACACCCAAAAAACAACCAAAAACACCAAAAAACACCCCAAAAAUACCCAAAAACAACCAAAAACACCCAAAAAUAACAAUAAAAAACACCCAAAACCACCCCAAAAACAACCCAAAAACACCCCAAAAAUAUCCUAAAACACCCAAAAAUACCCAAAAAACACCCCAAAACACCCCAAAAAUACCCCAAAAACACCUCAAAACCCCCCAAAAACAUCACAAAAACACCCAAAAACCACACAAAAACCACCCAAAACCACCCCAAAAACACCCCAAAAAUACCCCAAAAACAUCCCAAAAAUACCCAAGAAACACCCAAAAAACACACAAAAAACAUCCCAAAAACCACACAAAAACACCCAAAAACACCCCAAAAACACCCAAAAAAUAA
rnacentral:lncRNA from 1 species